rnacentral:lncRNA from 1 species
UUUUUCACUAACCUCACGCCAUAGACACACACACACACAUGAUAGAGUUCAAGGGAGAUGGAGUUUCAGAGAGGAGAUAUAAGCUCAAGUUGAGAGAGAAAGUCGCCAAGAGAGAGAUCGAGAUCGGGAGUUCGAAAGAGAAGAUUUUGACCAAAAAUUAAGUUUUUCGGUCACUCGUUGUCAAGAACCAAAACUUGCUGAUCGAAUCAGCCUGAAACAAGCCUGUUCGGGUAGAUUCCAGCUUAAUUGGGUCAAUUCCGACAAAGUUCAGACUGAAUCCAGUAAGAAUUAGGGGUGCGGGUCUUGUUCUUCCUCGAUUUUGGGGAGAAAUAUAGCCAAAAAGUACUGGGUUUCUUGGAAUCCAAUCCUUGUUCCAUCGUCUUGCCGCCAAGCUCACCGGAGCUCCGGUAUCAUGGGUUUCUAUUAUUUUCUUCCUUCUGAAAUUCUAGUCCUAGUACUCGUUGGUCCACGCAGGUUUUAUUUUGUGCGAUCUAUACUUCGGUAUUUGGGCUCGAUCGUUCAUCGAUUCUAUUCUUAUAUCUAUUUUGUUCAAAUCGGAAUUUGUUCAUUGAUUUGCUGGCUGUUUCUUGACUGGUUCGGAAAGUAGUAAUUGAAGUUAUUUGCAUUCUUGGACUGUUACCCGGCUAAUUCGGAGGAUCGAGAUCUCGUUGGGGUUCUUCGAGGUUCUUGGACGGGCUCCUAUUUCUCUUAUUUGAAUUCAAAAGCUUUAUUUGAGGUCUAAUUCUCUCCUCUCUCCCUUUAUUUUAAUUUCGAUAUGAUUGUGGGUGUGAUUUGAUAUCUUGUGCGAUUUGUUGAUUGAUUUGGGUGAUGUUCGAUAUUUUAUUUUUUUUUUGCUUUUGAGUAAUUGAUCUCAGUGGUAUAAAGGUGAUGAUAAUAUGAAUUUGGAUUUGUAUUGAAAAGGAAUUUGGGGGUGGGGAUCGUAAAUUGAAAGAGUAAAUAUUAUAGUAAUUUUGAUUCAUUGUUGAUGUCGAACGGUGAUAGUAUCAUGGUAGGUUGAAUUGGAUAGGCAAAAGAUGUUUAGGUUCGGGUAGACAAAUUUAGGAAUGAUUUUUUGAAACAUGGUGGAAUGUUGGAAUGUGCGUAUGAAUGUUUCUUUCUAGUUUAUCAUAUUUAAUUCAAAAAAUAUACUCAUUUAGCCGGGGAAUGCCCCAAGGCAUAUUGUAUUUAUUCACCGGGGAAUGCCCCGACGUACUAUGUUGGCGGAAGACAUUCGUGAUGAAGUCCCAAGGCGCCGGAUAGAGCAUUAGUCUAGAAUUAAUUUAGAGUAAGAUUUAUUUUUACGCAUUUUUUAUUUUUGGACUGUAUAAUUGGACUGGACACUAGAUUUUGGAUUGUUUUAUCUUGUUUGCUUGAUUGCUUGUUUUGCAUGUUUUGUGUGGUUUAUACCCUCGUGGUGUCAAAGUUAGUCGAUACGCUCUACCAAGCGAUCGUGGUCGAACCAC